UCAACCAGUAGGUAUAUAAAUAGAUAAUCGUUAUUCUACAAAUACCUAGACCUAGUUCUAAUUUAGAUUCUGUCCCGGAAACAGAAUCAUGUUUCCGGCAUUGGUCUCUACAGUUCGGCUUCCUUCCAUAUAUUGUUUUAGGUUCCAUUUUCUACGUUGCUGUCGUCGUUGUUAUAAUUGGAGUCCUUGAACCAUCAUGGUUGCAUCUACCAAACUAUCUGGACUCGGAGUCCAACACAACAGUGAAAUCUGACUCUGCCUACUCUUCCCUAUACCUGGAGAAAAAGAAACCUGUCCUGCUUCCAACUUUUCAAAAGUUUUACUCCGGACCAGAAACUAAACUCUAAGAAAUAAAAGUUUUUAAGUCUUGUAACUUUUAGUAUUUAUUUUAUUUGUAGGGUUUCACAAACCCGAAUAGACAUUUCAAGAUUCA